UGUGUUUGAUUUGUUUUUUUUUGAUUCUACAGUUAUGAUGGUUUUUAUUGGCAUUUUCCAAGGUAUUAUUUUACAGUGAUGGUCACAGUCUGGAAAGGUAA